rnacentral:tRNA from 1 species
GCGCCCGUGGCUCAGUUGGAUAGAGCAACGGCCUUCUAAGCCGUGGGUCGCAGGUUCAAAUCCUGCCGGGCGCGCCA